AAGGGGGGGUCUUACCAUGCAGUCGACGAUGAAGCCCAGCUUGCUGGGUGGAAGAGUGGCGAACGGGUGAGUAACACGUGAGCAACCUGCCCUUCACUCUGGGAUAAGCACUGGAAACGGUGUCUAAUACUGGAUAUGCACGAUGGCCGCAUGGUCUGUUGUGGGAAAGAUUUAUCGGUGAAGGAUGGGCUCGCGGCCUAUCAGCUUGUUGGUGAGGUAGUGGCUCACCAAGGCGACGACGGGUAGCCGGCCUGAGAGGGUGACCGGCCACACUGGGACUGAGACACGGCCCAGACUCCUACGGGAGGCAGCAGUGGGGAAUAUUGCACAAUGGGCGCAAGCCUGAUGCAGCAACGCCGCGUGAGGGAUGACGGCCUUCGGGUUGUAAACCUCUUUUAGUAGGGAAGAAGCGAAAGUGACGGUACCUGCAGAAAAAGCACCGGCUAACUACGUGCCAGCAGCCGCGGUAAUA
rnacentral:rRNA from 1 species